GUCGAACGCUGGCGGCGUGCUUAACACAUGCAAGUCGAACGAAGUGGCGAACGGGUGAGUAAUACGUGGGUAUCCUGCCCUCCUUUUUGGGAUAACCCUUGGAAACGCGGUCUAAUACCGGAUACAUGGGGCGGGGCUAGCGGCCUAUCAGCUUGUUGGUGGGGUGAUGGCCUACCAAGGCGGUGACGGGUAGCCAGGAUGAGAAGGCAACCGGGAACAGUGAGACUGAGCAACGGCCCAGAGUACGACGGGGGGGAGCAGAGGGGAAUAUGGGAGAAUGGGUGAAAGACUGAUGCAGCGAGUGCGAGGGAGGGAUGAAGGCUGUAGAGUUGUAAAAGUCUUUAGGAAGCGAAGGGGUAGGUGGAGAAGAAGCGCCGGCUAACUACGUGCCAGCAGCCGCGGUAAUUC
rnacentral:rRNA from 1 species